rnacentral:tRNA from 5 species
GGCGGAUGUAGCCAAGUGGAUAAGGC